AUGUUCGAUGUCGAGGGCGCAGACUUAAGAGGCAUUUUUUGCCUUGGAAUUCUUCUUGUCUUAUUAAUUAGGUUGUUUGUAGUAAGGAGUGAUUGUGAUGAUGCUUAUUUUAUUUCCUUUGCCCACUUUUUUUCAGAGCCUACCUUUUUAAGAGCUUAUGUCCUGCGGAGUGGAGCAUGUCGUUUGAAGUUGAUACCGUUGGAGCAAGAGCUCAAACAUUGCGAGAAGGAUCAUUCAAACCAGAAGAAGACGUGA